AAGGAAGGAAGGAAGGAAAGAAGGAAAGAAGGAAAGAAGGAAGGAAGAAGAAAUCCAAACAAAGAAUAUGGGGGCAGGGGGGACCAACCAACCAAAAACUCUACAAAGAUACCAUUGAGUUUGUUUUGUGUUGGCCUUGGCAUGGGGUGUGUAUGCCCAGUGAGAUGCAGUUGGAGCAAACAAAUCUUUCCUUUGCAAAUUAUUGUCAGUUUGAGAUCGCUUCUUGGUUAUGGGUGGGAGCACAUGCCUGUUUUCCCCUCAGCCCUGGUGUCCUAUCUAGCUGACGCAGUCUGUGAGUUCUUGUGUGCUUCAGUCCUGUUGUGUCUGGAACUGCCCCAGGCAUGGGGUUCCAUCCCAUGGCAUGAGCCUUCAGUACAGUCAGAUACUGAGUGAUCAGUUAUUCUCACAUAUUUUUUUUUUCUACUAUUACACAUAUCACAGGCAGGUCACUGCCUCAGAUGACAGGGUUUGUAGCUGGGUUGGUGUUUAGCUCUCUUCUCUGGUAGUGUGCAGAGCACCUUCCAGUACUGUGAACACCAGUUAGUAGGGAUGUAAACUCUAGUUGGGUGCCAGCUCGACUUCCCCAUGGUCACUGAGAAAUAUAUUGCAGUCUUCAGCAAUAAGGCUUACUGUCACUUUGUAAUUCUAUAUGGUAUAGAAAUGUAUCAUUCUUGCUGUGCCUAUGUCGCGCCCGGCAAGGAAGCCACAACACGGUCAGAUUCGUCUCAACAGCCUUUAUUGCAGGAUCGCCUCGAUGCUGCUACGGGGACUCCGGGCACCCAGGGAGGUCUGCUUAUAUGCACCCGAGCACAGGGAAAGGCUUCAUGUCCUCCUGGGAUAGGUUGAACUGCUGUCACCUAAUUAGCAUGUACCCGCUCGGGAGGGGUUGGCGCCAGACUCGGGCUUACACCUGCACUGAUGUUGUUUAUGACAACGGCAUACCGGAAACCGGUGCCAUCUUAGAGUUGGCUUCCUACACCUAUGGGUGGUUUGGCCCUGGUAUUCUAAAGCCAUUUCUCCUUUCUUUCAAGGCUACCUUGAUGCCCAGCUCUGCUCAGAUCCGAGUAGGACUCUACCCGCAACGGCCACUCCCCUCACUGGAGUAGCAUUUAUACAAGAGAUGCCUGUACAUUCGCUGACAAGAAACCCAGGACCUGUUGCUUUGAACUAAGUGUGGGAUGGGUUGUUGAGUUGGGAAGGAGGGGACCUGACCUCAGCAGCUUCAUGGCACGUUGUCAGGGCCCAGGGGCCACAGCUGUGCACCUGAGAACAAAGCCGGCAACUUCCUCCAAACAGGGUGAGUGCUCUGCAGGUCAUAGCUGCACCCGGGCCUUUGGCCUUUUGCCCAGACCCGAAUCACCUGGAGUUUCAUCCGAAGGCCUCUGCUGAGCUGACUUUGAGAAGUAAAGACACUAUUGUUCAAUAUGGCAAGGUGGUAUCCCAUCAAAUCUGUUCUGAUGCCUGCACCUAUGAUGAGCACACACACACACACACACACACACAGAGGCUAGCAUAUGCAGGGCUGGGCAGAGAGCUGUGUGUACCCUCAAGGCACCCAUUUCCAGGGCCAGCAGCUUUUCCCAAAUCCAGAUCUGCCUGUGACUCAGUGUAUCAAUCUCCAGGGGACACUUUACACUAUUGGGUGUUGGGCCCACUAUCAAGGGGUUUUGACCCUAUUGGUUCUGAUGGGGCCACAUUUACAUGUCCCAGAAGUACAGCAGCAGAGGACAUUCCUCACCUGCCUGUGUCUGACACCACCAGCAGCAUUCCAGGGUCCAGGGUCCUCCAGGCUUCCUGAGGUAACUCAGUACGUCUCAAAGUAGAGCUGAUGCAUCAUCCAUCAGACACAGUAAGGCUGCCGACACAAGUCAGGCUGGGCUCGGCCAGAUCAGGAACCCGAGAAGACCCGUCCACUGGGAUAUGUUCCGACCCCAGGAAAGACAUUUCUCCAUGGCUUUAUGAGUCGGUGACUAUCUCUGACAGAAAACAUUUUUAAUCCAGCAAGAACUGUGUCUCAAAGGCCCCCAGGAUGCUGAAUUCUGAUGUCCGGUUAUGUCACUGUGGUCAGGUGACUGCCCCAAGUGCAGCUCUUAACUCCCUAGCACUCACCCUGUUUAGCGGACGGACGCUGGCUUUGUUCUCAGGUGCACAGCUGCAGUCCUCGAGGCCGACACCCUGACAUAAAGCCUCAUAGCUUCAGAGGUCAGGUUCCCUCCUCCCCAGCUCACUGACCCCUGCUCUGAGGUCUCUGAGACUUCUUAGAUCAUCACUCCCUGGAAGUCACCUUUCUCGGUAGACUGGCUGCACCUUUAAAGGCGAUUGGAAGCACAGCAGCCAUAGCUCAGGCUGCAGACCUAUGGCACUGAAGGUAAGAACAGCCACUCAUGUGGACCCUGUGGCCUGAGAGCUUUUGACAGUUUUGUGCACUUCAAGACUCAUGUCAGAGAUCCUUGCUGCAGCACACACUUCCUGAGAGGGACCUGCAUGGGAUUUAAGGCACACAUGUACAUGCACACACACGAUGUAUGUAUACAUUGGUGUGCACAUGUUCAUAUGCAGUGAUUGGCCUUCUCCUGGCCACUGGCUACAACCCUGUUCCAGUGGCUUCUGAGCUGGGUCCCUUUGAGUGUCCCGUGUCUUCUCUGUUAGACACACACUCGGAGGCCUAGAUGCAGCUCUGCUGAGAGCAGCUGAGCCUUGGGGCUCAGAAAGAAAGACUCUAGAAAGAAUCUCAGGGUGUGGCACGUUAUCUGUUCUAGUUAGGUGUUUCUAGUUGGGCAAAACACCCUCUGUAAGUGGAG
rnacentral:lncRNA from 1 species